AUGUUUCUCUUUUUCUCCAGAUUAAGUUUUCGUUUGGAGUGGAUUUGCCAAUUUGAUCUGAAAUGAUAUGAUGAUCAUGGCCCUGGAAAGUGUGAGUGCUGCGUGUGUUACUUUCCAUAGGCAAGACCCCCGUGGAAUUCCGCAACUGGCUGAUGGAGAGGGUAUGGUUUACGUGCAGACUGGUGACUGAAGGAGUAACCAGAGAAUUGGAGAUGGAACACCCCCCCCCCUGGAAAAAAAACUGAGGUCAUUAGAAAACAUGCUCCACAUUUCAAGCAAGAAGGACAGAUUUUGAAAUCCGACGGGACAAUCGUUAAAACAGUUCUUCUAAGAUAGAGUGGGCUGGCUACAAAGAUCAACGAGGUGGACC